GUCUGUGUAAUGAUGGCGCAAUCUAGAAGGCGUGGGGGAUUAGAAAUGUAGUGUUUUCUCUAGGUACGGUAGCGUACCCGCUGCCACCACCUUUGUUAAACCAGUAUGGUCUGGCGAUUUAAGUAAGCUCUCAUACACCAAACGAUCAAAAUGCAACACAGUAAUAUUGGUAUAAUAAAUAUCAAACUUUAUUAUAUACGCAGGGUAAAAAUGGCUGGUUCCCAGACUAAGUUCAGGGGAAGGGGGCACAAUUUAUGGGAAACUGUAUCCUAUAAAGUCAUCACAAAGAGAGUAAAAGUCAAGUGCAAUAUUAGAUUCAAACGGCCAACCCACAGCAACUAGUAUAGCACAACACCCUAAAAAUACACAUCUUCACACACAUGGAUAAAAACCACCUGCAUUUCCACUACACUGCACACCACAGCCUCCAAUACAUUGGUAACUCCCCUCUUAAAAUGCCCAACGUUACUCACAGGGACCCAACCAAGAUAACAGGGUAUAGACUAGUAUAGUUAAUAGUUAAAUGUGGCUUACACAGUCAAAAUACAAGACCAAGAGUUGUUA